rnacentral:rRNA from 1 species
AAGUGGAGCAAUCCAUGAGUAUAGUGGCGACCGGGUGAGUAACACGUGACUACCUGCCCUUGAGUGGGGGAUAACCUCGGGAAACCGAGGCUAAUACCGCAUAAUAUCGCAAGAUCAAAGGAGCAAUCCGCUUUUGGAGGGGGUCGCGGCUGAUUAGCUAGUUGGUAGGGUAAUGGCCUACCAAGGCAAAGAUCGGUAUCCGGCCUGAGAGGGCGCACGGACACACUGGAACUGAAACACGGUCCAGACUCCUACGGGAGGCAGCAGUGGGAAUUUUGCGCAAUGGGGGAAACCCUGACGCAGCAACGCCGCGUGGAGGAUGAAGGCCCUUGGG